UGGGGAAUAUUGCACAAUGGGCGCAAGCCUGAUGCAGCCAUGCCGCGUGUAUGAAGAAGGCCUUCGGGUUGUAAAGUACUUUCAGCGGGGAGGAAGGGAGUAAAGUUAAUACCUUUGCUCAUUGACGUUACCCGCAGAAGAAGCACCGGCUAACUCCGUGCCAGCAGCCGCGGUAAUACGGAGGGUGCAAGCGUUAAGCGGAAUGACUGGGCGUAAAGCGCACGCAGGCGGUUUGUUAAGUCCGGUGUGAAAUCCCCGGGCUCAAACUGGGAACUGCCUUUGAUACUGGCAAGCUUGAGUCUCGUAGAGGGGGGUCGAAUUCCAGGUGUAGCGGUGAAAUGCGUAGAGAUCUGGGGGAAUACCGGUGGCGAAGGCGGCCCCCUGGACAAAGACUGACGCUCAGGUGCGAAAGCGUGGGGAGCAAACAGG
rnacentral:rRNA from 1 species